CCUACGGGGGGCUGCAGUCGAGAAUCUUCCGCAAUGGACGAAAGUCUGACGGAGCGACGCCGCGUGCGGGAUGAAGGCCCUUGGGUUGUAAACCGCUGUCAGAGGGGAUGAAAUCUUCGGAGGUACUCCUCCGAAGUUGACAGAGCCUCAAAGGAAGCACGGGCUAAGUACGUGCCAGCAGCCGCGGUAACACGUACUGUGCGAACGUUAUUCGGAAUCACUGGGCUUAAAGGGUGCGUAGGCGGCGAUUCAAGUCAGAUGUGAAAUGCCUGAGCUCAACUGAGGCAUUGCGUUUGAAACUGAACCGCUAGAGUAUUUCAGGGGUGUGCGGAACUGCCAGUGGAACGGUGAAAUGUGUUGAUAUUGGCAGGAACACCGGAGGCGAAAGCGGCACACUGGGGAAUAACUGACGCUGAGGCACGAAAGCCAGGGGAGCGAACGGGCUUAGAUACCCCAGUAGUC
rnacentral:rRNA from 1 species